rnacentral:rRNA from 1 species
UACGUAGGGGGCCAGCGUUGCUCGGAAUUACUGGGCGUAAAGGGUUCGUAGGCGGUGCGGUAAGUCGGAAGUGAAAUCUCUGGGCUUAACUCAGAGGCUGCUUUCGAAACUGCCGUGCUAGAGUGCGGGAGAGGCGAGUGGAAUUGCAGGUGUAGCGGUGAAAUGCGUAGAUAUCUGCAGGAACACCCGUGGCGAAGGCGGCUCGCUGGACCGCAACUGACGCUGAGGAACGAAAGCUAGGGGAGCAAACAGG